GUCGCCGGCCUGCGCGCCGCCACCGCUGCUGCGUGCGCGCGCCGCUGCCGUGCGCCGUCGCUCCGGCCCCUGCUGUCGCCGUGCUCUGCGCCUGCGCAUCGCGCUGCUGCCGCUCUCGGAGCCGUGCGCCGGGCCGCCGCUGCCGCUGCCGUGGCCAUGCGCCGUCGUGCUGCCGUGCAGGCAAGCAAGCCGGCCGCCGUGCCUCUGUGCUAGCAGCUGAGAGAGAGAAAACAAGCAGAGCAGCGCGGGAGAGAAGCCAGGAAAGAGAAGGGAAAAAGGAGAAAAGAAAGAAGAAAAAAAAAAGAGAAGAAGAAAAAAAAAAGAGGAAAAUUUUUUGGAAAUUUUCGGUUUUUCGUCGGAUUCAUCGUCAAUCCUUCGCAGGUGAUUUCUCGGUGGUGCGACCUCACGUCACGACUAGUGCCCGGCUUCAUCGUUGGUAAAGGCAAGUGAUUGUAGUGAAUGGCUACGCUUUAACCUCUUAUUGGAUUGCCCACAUUCCUUAAUUACAAUGCAUUCAUCUAAUCUGAAUAACUGAUUAUGAGAUGGUUACUAUGUUGUUUAUGUUUCCAGAAGUUUACUCGAUGAUGGAUUUAUGAAGUGCAGUAAGCACGAUAUGCCAUUAUGCAGUUGUUCAUUAUUGUUUAAUGCAAUGUUUUAUUUCGAAGUCUCAAGCAUAUUCCGGGAGUUAUGAUAGUAUGCUUGAAGCACGUCAUACAUAUUCAUCUCAUGCAUUGGAAGUUUGUCGCCGUCUUCUGGCCGCGACUGUACCGGUACAGUACCGUAUGUUACCCGAGAAGGGGUACGGUGCACACCCUUACGUUACCCGAGGAGGGGUAAGGGUGGGGAGAGCAUGUCAUGUGCAUGGUUAUGUCUUCUUAUGACAUUCAAUGGGUUAUUUGCAUCAAAUCUUAUUUCCUUUAAUUAGCUUGUAUAUAGAUAUAUAUGCAGCUCUGAAGGCUUAUACCAACCGAAUGUUAAAUGAUUAAUGUUAUCGUUGGACUUGCUUAGUCAUAAUUGUUUCUCCUAGUGUUGGCGGUCUGUUUCAUUACUAGUUUCUAUUUAGAAUUGUUAGCACAUUCAUCUGUGGCUAAUAGCUUUUGCAAAGUACCUUUCACUUGCUGAGAUUUUCGAAUCUCACCCGUGCUUUCUUUCCAGGUCCCUUUUGAGGUGUCAAUCGCUUGCGGGGUGGGUAGCUACACGUCGCCUGCAUGUUUACCUUCUCUCUUGAUGCCCUGUUAGAUAUUGUCUUUUGCUCUGUAAUGUAUAUAAUGAGUUUGAUGGUGGUUCAGUUGUUUGGUCGAGGCUUGUACCUCGUUGCCAGGAUCUUUAUUUUGCUAGUGUGAUAUUCUAUAUCUGUUC